AUGGGUGAUCUGGGCGUCCGGGUUGUGGGCAGGGGCUGCGCCGCGCCCAUGGAGCCGCGCAAGGAGAUGGCGCCGUCGCCGCUGGAGCAGCAGCAGCAUCCUCCCCUCUUCAUGGAUUUCUCCCGGCGAGGUGGAGUCGCAGACGGAGGCAACGGGCGGAAGCGGCCGCGCGAGGCCGUGGCGCCGCCGGCACGCCUCUUCUCCCUGCAGGCGCCGCAGGGUUCCCCGGGGCACAAGGUGAUACACCUGGCGCAGCUGCACCGGCGGCCUGCGGCGACGGGCCUGCGGCUCGACUUCGACGAGGGAGUCUCGGAGCACGCGGCGUGCACGUCGUCGACGUCGUCCCUUCUCCCCGGCGAGCUCGCCGCUCAGUGCGGGCGGUACAACAACGAGAUCGACCGGCUGCUCCAGGAACACACGGAGAGACUCCGGCUUGCGCUGGCCGACACGAGGCGUCGGCAGAACCGGUCGCUGCUGGGCGCCGCAGAGGCGCUGGCCGCGCGGCGGGUCAGGGAGAUGGAGGCGGAGGCCUUCAAGGCGGCGCGGCGCGGCGUCGAGCUGGAGGAGCGGCUGGCGCGGCUGAGGGCGGAGGCGGCGUCGUGGCAAGCCAAGGCAAUGUCCGACCAGUCCACGGCGGCGGCGCUCCACGCGCAGCUGCAGCAGGCAGCGGCCACAGCGCAGGCGAGGAGCGGCAAGGCCGCCUUGGACGACGACGGCGCGGCAGGCGCGGCGGACGACGCCGAGUCCGGCUUCGUCGACCCGGACAGGGUGGUGGAGGUGGCGGCCCCGCCGCCGGCGGCCAGGCCGUGCCGCGCGUGCCGGCUCCGGCCGGCCACCACCGUGCUGCUCCCGUGCAGGCACCUCUGCGUGUGCGCCGCGUGCGAUCCCGGCGCCUCGGCCUCCCUCGCCGCCGCCGCGGCCUGCCCCGCGUGCCGCUGCCCCGUCACCGGCACCGUGCAGGUCUUCUUCGCGUGA
rnacentral:rRNA from 1 species